UUUUUGGGGGGGAGGGGUAAAGUUAAGUGUAAUUGUACAGAGCAGAAAGCCAAAGUGCGUUAUUUCACAGUCUAAAGCUCAUGUAUAUAUAGUGGUAGUUUGUAAAGGAUACCUUCCUCGCCUGACCUUCUGGGAUGUAAAUUUGUAGUCGACUUUACGACUUUUCUUGUCUGCGCUCAACCUCAUUCAACUGGUGGUUACUUCUUUGUGUUUUUAAUGAAGCUUAUAAAUGGCAAAAAGCAAAGAUUUCGCCGAGUUGCCAGGUUUCCCACAAUGGGCUCCAACUUGUGUUCUCCUGCCUUGACCUCCCAGAGUGGUGGGAUUAAAGAUGCACCACCAUGCCUAACAAGAAUUAUUUUAAAAUACAAGAAAAUAAAACUUAUCUUCCUGUGUGCUUUGUCAGUAAA